GUGCUCCUAGUUUAACUUAUCUUAAGUCUUCUUCAUAAUUUGGUGAAAUCAGUAAGAGAAUUUAUGACUGGUUGGCUGGACCAGCUUAUGCCUGAUCUUCUUUAAUCUGACUUGAUGAAGUCAGUAGGAGGAUUAAGAUUAACUGGUCAAGUCUUUUCUCAUCUCUCAAUUUAACUAAUUAAAUCCUCUAAAAUUGUUAGAUCCCUAAAAAUAAAAUAGUUAUGGUGAUAACUAGAUCAUAGCCUCCCAUUAAGUUGGGUGAUAAUGAGUCCAACAGUUUAGAUAAUCAUUG
rnacentral:lncRNA from 1 species